rnacentral:rRNA from 1 species
GACGAACGCUGGCGGCGCGCUUAACACAUGCAAGUCGAGCGAAGCGGCGGACGGGUGAGUAACACGUGAGUAACCUGCCUUAGACAUUGGGAUAGCCUCGGGAAACCGGGAUUAAUACCAAAUGGUCUCAGAUGGACUCGCGUCCCAUUAGCUAGUUGGUGAGGUAACGGACCACCAAGGCGACGAUGGGUAGCCGGCCUGAGAGGGUGAACGGCCACAUUGGAACUGAGAGACGGUCGAAACUCUACGGGUGGCAGCAGUGGGGAAUAGUGCACAAUGGAGUGAACUCUGAGGCAGCGAGGCUGCGUGAACGAGGAAGGCGUUCGAGUCGUAAAGUUCGUUUAUAUGGGAAGCGGUACCAUAAGAAAAAGCCCCGGCUAACUACGUGCCAGCAGCCGCGGUAAUUC